AUUGAACGCUGGCGGCAUGCCUUACACAUGCAAGUCGAACGGUAACGGGCCUUCGGGUGCCGACGAGUGGCGAACGGGUGAGUAAUGCAUCGGAACGUACCUUUCAGUGGGGGAUAACGUAGCGAAAGUUACGCUAAUACCGCAUAUUCUGUGAGCAGGAAAGCAGGGGAUCGCAAGACCUUGUGCUGAUUGAGCGGCCGAUGUCAGAUUAGCUAGUUGGUGAGGUAAAGGCUCACCAAGGCGACGAUCUGUAGCGGGGUCUGAGAGGAUGAUCCGCCACACUGGAACUGAGACACGGUCCAGACUCCUACGGGAGGCAGCAGUGGGGAAUUUUGGACAAUGGGGGCAACCCUGAUCCAGCCAUGCCGCGUGAGUGAAGAAGGCC
rnacentral:rRNA from 1 species